GAUGAAGAACGUAGCGAAAUGCGAUAAGUAAUGUGAAUUGCAGAAUUCAGUGAAUCAUCGAAUCUUUGAACGCACCUUGCACCCUUUGGCAUUCUGAAGGGUAUGCUCGUUUGAGUGUCAUUGUACUCUCACACUCCCAAUUGCUUUGGAUUGGGAGCGGUGGACUUGGGUGUUGCUGCUUGACUGAGGCUCACCUGAAAUAUGUUAGUGCACCUCUUGAUUGGACAUAGUACGGCGUGAUAAGUGUCUUCGCCGGCUCCUCGCAAAGAGGGUGGCCGAUCGGGAGCUCUGUUGCUUCAAACUGUCUUCGGACAAUCUUCUGGCGACUUGACCUCAAAUCGAGUAGGACUACCCGCUGAACUUAAGCAUAUCAAUAAGCGGAGGA
rnacentral:misc_RNA from 1 species